AACGAACGCUGGCGGCAUGCCUAACACAUGCAAGUCGAACGAGACCUUCGGGUCUAGUGGCGCACGGGUGCGUAACGCGUGGGAACCUGCCCUUAGGUUCGGUAUAACUCCCCGAAAGGGGUGCUAAUGCCGGUUAAUCUCUUAGCCCCAAGGAUUUCUGGCUUUUGGAUGGGCCGCCGUUGGAUUCGCUAGUUGGUAGGGUAAAAGCCUACCAAGGGGUCGAUCCCUAGCUGGUCUGAGAGGAUGAUCAGCCACACUGGGAAUGAGACACGGCCCAGACUCCUACGGGAGACAGCAGUGGGGAAUAUUGGACAAUGGGCGAAAGCCUGAUCCAGCAAUGCCGCGGGAGUGAUGAAGGCCUUAGGGUUGUAAAGCUCUUUUACCCGGGAUGAUAAUGACAGUACCGGGAGAAUAAGCUCCGGCUAACUCCGUG
rnacentral:rRNA from 1 species